AUCCAGCUGACGAGUUCCAAAUAGGGCGAAAGGCACAACCUGGAU
rnacentral:hammerhead_ribozyme from 1 species